rnacentral:rRNA from 1 species
UACAGAGGGUGCAAGCGUUAAUCGGAUUUACUGGGCGUAAAGGGCGCGUAGGCGGCUUGACAAGUCACUUGUGAAAUCUCCGGGCUUAACUCGGAACGGCCAAGUGAAACUGUCAUGCUAGAGUGCAGAAGGGGCAAUCGGAAUUCUUGGUGUAGCGGUGAAAUGCGUAGAUAUCAAGAGGAACACCUGAGGUGAAGACGGGUUGCUGGCUGACACUGACGCUGAGGCGCGAAGCCAGGGGAGCAAACGGG